GGGGGGGGGGGGGGGGGGGCCUGGGGGGGGCGGGGCGGGGGGGGGCUUCGGGUCUGGGGGCGCCCGGGUGCGGAGCCCGGGGUACCCUGCCCUUAGGUUCGGGCUCACUCCCCGAACGGGGUGCUAAUCCCGGCUACUGUCGUCGUCCCGACGCUUUCUCGCCGUUGGCUGGUCCCGCUGUGGUUUAGCUCGUUGGUAGGGUACAAGCCUACCCAGGCGACGUGCCAUAGCUGGUUUGAGAGAAGGAUCAGCCACACUGGGACUGAGACACGGCCCGGAAUCCUACGGGAGGCAGCAGUGGGGAAUAUUGGACAAUGGGCGAAAGCCUGAUCCAGCAAUGCCGCGUGAGUGAUGAAGGCGUUAGGGUUGUAAAGCUCUUUUACCCGGGAUGAUAAUGACAGUACCGGGAGAAUAAGCUCCGGCUAACUCCGUG
rnacentral:rRNA from 1 species